UUUGUAAUUAGUUUUUGCCGACGUCCGUUUUUUAAGUAAUUUUUGGUAUUUUACAAAUUGUGUUACUUUAGUGGACACGUGGAGACAUGGACGCUGACUGUUGGAAGAAUUCGUCAAUUCAGACUGGCGCAAAGAGCUAUCAGGGCGCGAUGCCAGGAAUUUCAUUGCGAGACAGAAUUCGAAAUGAGGAUAUUCGCCAACGCAAUAAAGUUACCGACAUUGCAAAAAGGAUUAACUCAAGUGGGAAUGGACCGGCUAUAUUUUUCGCAGAGAUGACGAUCAAUGGGGUCGCCUAGUAUUGCUGUGGAGACCUAGCCUGGGUGGCCGAGGUGGCGGGAAACCACGAGCAGAUGGUCGGAUGACACAUAUAGAACGGAGUGGAAACCCACGGAAUGCAGACCAGGAUCAUAUACUUUAGGUAUGAGUUUGUUACUUUUGCUCAUAAUAACAUGGAGUAUGUCACGGCUGCUCCACGGGCUGCAUUGAAGGGCAACAGGAGCGAAAAUGUUAAAAUGGAAAGGAGCUCCCCCUUUCAAUUAGGGAAUCUUAGGAUAUGCUAAGGCAAACAGAAGGAGGCAAGGAACGGGACUGCAUCAAUUGCUGUCUGGAACCAAUCUUGUGGGAUGACUUCUGGACAGGGAAAAACAAUUUCAUCAUCUACCCUAAUACUGACGAAUGUUCUAAAACGUGCUGUAAGGCAGACAUUUCCAAAUGUAACGGAGGAAAGUUUCGAGACAUGUAAUGGUUUCAACAUGCUGCUGAGACCCAACUCAAGAGACGUCAGUUUGUACUGUUUAGUCCAUUCUCUAUUGGGCAUGCUUGUAUAGAGAGGUAUAUAUUGGAGUACAGACAUGGUGUUUGGUAUGAGUAUUAUAUACAUCCUUUUGAGUCAAAUAGGACCGGUAGCCACUUAGAACUCCGUGUCCGAAAGGGUCAAAGUAUGGAGCUCCCGGUACUCAGAAAAAAAAUUCUGGCCUAUUAGUUUUGAACUUUCGAGUCAAGUUUGGUGUCAUUUUUAAACUGUUCGCUUCGUUUUUAAAUUGAAGAAGAUUAAAAAUCACAGUAAUAUUAUAAAGGCAAAAGUUUGUGAGCAUACCGUGUUUGUUACUUCCUCACGCCACGCCCAAGUGCCUUAACAAAUAUUAUUUAUAAAAUUAAGUAUGGAGGAAGUACGAUAUACCCUAAGUUAACACGUCGCUUCUUCUUGAUCGUGGGUAACACUCGGGGCGCAGUAUAAUGAUUAUUAAAAAUCUUUAUGCUGUCCCCUAUGCUGCGAUGGCGAUCGUUGCAGUACUUUCAAUAUUUUUUUUACAUCAAAUAUUAGAAUCAUCAAAGAUUACUAAUAAAAUAGGCUUUUUAGAAAUAUUUUUUAAAAAUCAUGAUUAGUAUAAAAAUACGGAAAUAUGAGGCUUUGUUUGCAUUUCGUGGCUACUAAAAAUUCAUUAUUAAUAAAUAUUGUGCUAUAUUUUGCUAUGGAACCCUAAAAAAGUAGUUACAUAAAAAUGACACUAAAAUUGACUCAAAGCUCAAACUAAUCGGCCAGAAUUUUUUCUGAGCAGCAGGAGCUCCAUACUUUGACCCCCUCUCCCCCCUUCGGACACGGAGUUCAAAGUGGCUACCGGUCUUGUUUGACUCGGGAGGACGUGUAUAAUACCCAUGUAGAUGUAGAUGUAGUGUAGGGACGCCUGGCCGGAUACAGGCGGGCUGUCGAUCGCUGGUGCGUUCAUUCAGCCCAAUUCCCUGGAGUUGGAGCUGCAGGUUACUGUCCCGGCUGCCCUC